ACGGAAGGCAGCAGUGAGGAAUAUUGGUCAAUGGGCGGAAGCCUGAACCAGCCAUGCCGCGUGAAGGAUUAAGGCCCUAUGGGUCGUAAACUUCUUUUGUACGGGAGCAAUAAGGUCCACGUGUGGACUGAUGAGAGUACCGUACGAAUAAGCAUCGGCUAACUCCGUGCCAGCAGCCGCGGUAAUACGGAGGAUGCGAGCGUUAUCCGGAUUUACUGGGUGUAAAGGGCGUGUAGGCGGGACAUCAAGUCAGAUGUGAAAGCACGAGGCUCAACUUCGUGUCUGCAUUUGAAACUGACGUUCUUGAGUGUUGGAGAGGCUAACGGAACUCCUAGUGUAGCGGUGAAAUGCGUAGAUAUUAGGAAGAACACCAGUGGCGAAGGCGGUUAGCUGGACAAUAACUGACGCUGAGGCGCGAAAGCGUGGGUAGCAAACAGGAUUAGAUACCCUGGUA
rnacentral:rRNA from 1 species